UGGGGAAUUUUGGACAAUGGGGGAAACCCUGAUCCAGCCAUCCCGCGUGUGCGAUGAAGGCCUUCGGGUUGUAAAGCACUUUUGGCAGGAAAGAAACGUCACGGGUUAAUACCCCGUGAAACUGACGGUACCUGCAGAAUAAGCACCGGCUAACUACGUGCCAGCAGCCGCGGUAAUACGUAGGGUGCAAGCGUUAAUCGGAAUUACUGGGCGUAAAGCGUGCGCAGGCGGUUCGGAAAGAAAGAUGUGAAAUCCCAGAGCUCAACUUUGGAACUGCAUUUUUAACUACCGGGCUAGAGUGUGUCAGAGGGAGGUGGAAUUCCGCGUGUAGCAGUGAAAUGCGUAGAUAUGCGGAGGAACACCGAUGGCGAAGGCAGCCUCCUGGGAUAACACUGACGCUCAUGCACGAAAGCGUGGGGAGCAAACAGG
rnacentral:rRNA from 1 species